rnacentral:lncRNA from 1 species
AAAUGGUUACGUUCUGCCAUACCACAUGGCAGAAGGCGAGACUGAGAAGCCAAGGAGAAUGCAGACCUCUACCUGGCCCCAAAGUGGACCGGAUCGAUCAGUCACUGGACAAUCCUCAAGUCCUCAAGUCACCAGUGGUCAGCUGAGUGGGAAUCCGAGCACCUCUUCUCAUCAAUAUGGGAUGGUCAGACCAUCAGUGGCGUAUACACUAGGUAGGGAAGUUGGACCAGUGGUCCCAUAUACUCAAGGUGGUGAAUGCUUACCACACAGCAGUCAAGUAACCCGUGUAGGUUACUUGAGUGGACAGACCCAGAAUCAACAGGCACCCACAAAAGAGCAGACCCUAAUGGCCACUAGUCCCCUUUUGACAUCACUCUUGACUAACAAUGCAGCUGCACAAUCAACUGGUGUUACAUCACAAAGUGGAUACCAUCACACCCUGCCUGGAAGGGUUAACGAUGCUUUUCAAACCACUUUCCAGCAGGUACAUAGGUCUUUGGGUGUUAAUGGUAACAAUUCACAGAGGUUGGUACAGGAUGGUCAGGGUGCAACCAUUCACUGCCCCUCUGAUAUUAAUGCAUCACUGAAUACAAAUUGUAUUUAUCUCCAAAGCCCAGCAAGUGGCAGUCAGCAGCUGGUACUUGGCAGACAAGAGGGGACCUCCAGUGGUACCUCUGCUGCUCUUGCAAUGGGUAGGAGUCCCAAUCAUGUGAAUCAUCAAUGGACUGUGGUGAGUGGAAAGGAUUCAAUUAGGAUGGCGGUUCAAGGUCUUCAUCAGGGAUAUCCACAAACACCAAACUCUUUGCAAAUUGCACAGGAGACAAGUAUUGUGCCAUCAAGGACAUCUCCACGGUCUCCCACAGCAUAUAAACAACUGUAUUUGAUUCUAAAUCAAAACAAUAACAGGACUGAGAUGAACAGGGUUCAACAUGGCACACCUGUCCAAACUGACCCAUCAAACCACAGUCAAAUGUAUCCCUUCCAACCUCUCACGGACAGCAACAACCAGGUCAAUCUACCAAAUGCUACAGUGGGGCAGUCAAUGCCAAUGCAUAACAUUAGCCAGAAUCCUCAAUACAAUGUUAUGCAUAACCCUUCUCUUAAUAAUUUUCAAAGAUAUCACCCUGCAGGCCUUACCAACCCACCACAACAGAACAGACUUGUGUCAAAUUGUGCAAAUAUGAACAGUCAGGCAGGGGCCAUUAAAAAUAAUGCACACCAUUCCCCAUAUCCUAGGCCCCAUAUCGAAGGCGUAUCCAACCUACAUUACAAGGCAGACGUUCUGGUGUCCAACACUGGACCAUCUUCAUCUGUGCCAAACAAUAGUAUACAGUCUUCAGUCGAGCACACCCGUGAGUCCGCUCCUCCACCAUACCCAGGCCAGCACUCACAUGGACCCGUGCUGAACAAGACGGGACAUGUGGUUGGGGCAGGAGCACAUUCUCUGCAAUACAUACCAAACCAAGGCUCAGCCCAUACCCUACAUUACAAGCCAAAAAACACCUCCGUUCUGAUAUCCAACACUGGACCAUCUUCAUCUGUGCUAAACCAUGGUAUGCAGUUUUCAGGCCAGCAAAACUGUGAGUCUGUGCCACCGUCAUACCCCAUAAGACAGGGCUAUUACGUAACGGUAACAGAGGACAAAAGUGGAAAUGGAUUUAGAGCAGAAAAGGUUAUUUUGAUAGGAGAUAAACCUAAUGAAAGUGCUCUGGUACGGCAAGGAUCAUCUGCAAGUAAUGCCCCCUCUGUUCCUACGGUGCAGAAGGCCAUCGCCGUUGUACAACCACUAUCGCAGUGUAUGCAGACAAACACAUCUCUCAACGUGGCUGAUAGAAUGCCCUUGACUACCCAAGGUAUGUCGUUCUCAACUAGUGGUGAAAAUGUGAGCAACCCUGGGGAAGAAUCUUGUGACCAGAGUCCAUCACAAGCCCAAACAACCCUUACUGUAUCUGCUUCUUUGACAAAUGAAUUUGGACAAAAGGUCCCCAAGGUCAGACCAGAAGCUACAUUAGAAUUGGGUGCUGGAAGAACAGUGACUCAGGAUUCAGAAACUUCAGUUGUUGAACUGGCCAAGACAUAUUCAUAUUUUGAGUCUGAACCGUCACUAUCGAACUGCUUACAUGUAGAGAAAGUGGAUUCUCAACCAUUAUUUAAUUUGAAAUGUCAAGCCACUCAGAGAAAAGAGUUAGCUGGCACAGAAAUGACCACUCAUGUGCAUGUUAACCAAUUGAGUGAGGAAACAAAUGAAAAAGGAGUUUCAGAUGAGGACAUUUUUGAAUUGUCCUCAGUUCCUGUAAUCAAAUGGAGACUUGGUAAAUUGAAGGAGUUUGUAGACACUGUGCAACAUCCAAAAUGCUCUGAGACACUGGUUGAAAGCAAGCUACUAAGCCUAUAUUGGGAUGGAGAUGGGCAGAAGCUUAUAGAUGCUGUAAGAUCUGGUAUCUUCCAGAAUAUAAUGCGAGAGGUUAGAUCUGUGUGUGGCAAAGAUAUGUCAUCACAGUCUGUCAUAUUUUCACAAGUUAGGCGCAAAAACUGGGCUCAAGUUGAAGAGAAGUGUGUCAUUCUUAAACAUGAUUCUGUUUACCCCGUGGUCCCGGGUCAAGAGUCCUCAUGGCUGAAUACCAAUAAGCAGCUUGAUGACAUAGACAGGGAGUUUGGAUUCCCUUCGUCACUAAUAUAUCACCAACAGACUUUUCGAAGAGGAGAUGAACAACCAAAACGGAAUUGUACCGAAAAUGAAAAUUCUGUAGAAAAUGAAGACUCUGGCAGUGACAUGCAGACUGAGGUGAUUCAGACAGAGAGACCAGCACCCUCUGAAUCUGAUCCUAAAGAAAUUCAAGGGUCAAGUUUGGCACACAGCUCUACACACACCCUCUCACCAGUUAAGAAAGAAAGUGAAAACACCAUUUUAUGUGACCCAUUUUCCUCCCUGGAGAUCAACGUGCUGACACCAGAAGAGGCUAUGCGGUUUUUCAAUGGCCAGCUACUGCAAGACAAAGUAGGAGAAGAUCAGUUGAAAUUGCCAGUGGAUGUGGAGCUGAAUGAGUUGAAAGACUACUCUGUGGAGGAUAAAUCAUCUGAGAGAGUAGACGUAAAGUUGACGACUGUAAAAUAUGAAGUGGAUGUCCAAUCGGAAGAUUACUGUUGUCUCUCACGUUGGAAGGCAGUGUUCAGUGGGUCCACCAAUUCUGUGUCCUGCAAAUGCCAGUACAAGACUGAAUUGGGUUUGACAAAGGCCACUGUGAAUGCAAAGAUGUUUGUCGAGGGAACUUUGGCUGUUGAACCGAGCACAACAAAUGCAGAACAAAGGGAAAGCCUGGAUUUAUGGAAAUCAAAUGGCACAGCAGAAAGAAAGAGGGAAGGGAAUCCUGGUAAAAAUGGGAAUCCCCAAUCAGGGAAAUCUACAGGCAUUGAAUGCCAAACUAUUUUCUUGUCUGAUAGUGAAUCUGAGACUGAUCGCCCAUACACUAAUGGGGCAAAGAGCUUGCCAUUGUCAAAACCCCCAUCACUGUGCCUGCCCAGCAAGUGCCCAAACAUUGUUGAAGUUGAAAUUGAAGAUGUCUUCUCGAGCUAUGAAGACUUUCUCAAAGUAUCCACCCCAAUGUCUGAGCUAGCGUGGGACAAUGUACAGCGAAAGCAGCAAAUACCAGGUCCACUCCAGAAACAAAUGGAAUGUGUACAAGCACUUAGUGUCUCUUUGGAAGAAGGGAACCUUGGGGGUAGUGAAGUCAUUCCUACAGUUACCAUUCCUACUUCUAAUCUGCUACGCCAACCAGCAGAGAAAAUCAGUUUUCUAACAUCACUCUCCUUGGCACAAAGAUGUCACAAGCAUCCACCGCCUAAAUUAAAUUGUAGCUGGAAGGUUAAACAAAAAGGGGUUGGACACAAGAGAUGUGUUGAAGGUCCUCAUUCUGUCCCAAGAAAGCGAAGGAAAGUAAGGCAAGGUUUGGGUCCCUUCAUUCAACUUGUUCCUGAGGUCAACUUGACUGACACAGAUGACGAUUUCGAGUCCCCCAAUAAAAGUGCUUCUAAGUCUUUGGAAGAAGACCGACCUUCAAACAGUCGCAAUCUCCAGAAGCCAGCAGAACCUGGAAUUGGGACCAAGAUUUCAAGGGUCACAACAGUAAGUCUGGCCUUGUUUGGUUCCUCGCCCCAGAGGACAAAUGGGACUGUAGUAACUGGCCAACGCAAGGACCAUAAUUCUUCUCGACCUAGACCUUUUGCAGACAAAGCUCCAGCGCCUCCUUUAACCCUCAGUGUGAAUGUCAAGUCCUGGAGGAUAGAGCCCUCCGAGACCAGCCCGCCAGUGGAAAGCCCAGUCAGAAAACGGCUCUUCAACGAGUGGGAGAACAGUUUUGUGCCAACAAAGAAGACAAAGUCCAGGGGCAGACCAAGACUACGAAACAGAAGAGGCUUUGCUCCGAAGAUUGUUUGUGCUGAAGUUGCCAAAAAGACUGUUACCUUGACCAACACAGAUGGUAGUGCAUUAUCCUCUGAAAGACGAGCCACACCAGAAAGAACUGUAAGGGUCAAGCAGACUUUGCGGCACUUUGAAAGAGAGAGAAUCUUAAAUGGCCUGAAACUCAGACUUAAGAAAUCUAGGAUCAAGGCAGUGCCAUCCAGCAAACCUGUUACAGUGGAAAAAAGUACAAUUAAGAUCAGGAGCCCUGCUCUUUUGCCUCUUGAGGAGAACAGUGUUCUGAGGUUCAGUGUGCUGCCAGAGUCGUUCAACUUCAAAGAUGGACAAGAACCCAUGGACACUCUGACACAGACUGGUUCAAUGAAGGAAAUGGCUGGUGCUGGUGCUGUUGCUGCGACGACUGAGAGUACUAAAACAAUAGUCCGGAAAUCCCAAGUAGGUUUAUGGUCUGCUGGCCCUCAGAAGAGAUAUUAUCCUCUCACCUCUUCGCCCACUAAAAUCCCCAAGUCUUCCUCCACUGCCUUCCAGGAGUUUCAGAGGAAAUUCAAGCGGCUAUCCCAAGACUAG